rnacentral:rRNA from 1 species
GACGAACGCUGGCGGCGUGCCUAAUACAUGCAAGUAGAACGCACAGUUUAUACCGUAGCUUGCUACACCAUAAACUGUGAGUUGCGAACGGGUGAGUAACGCGUAGGUAACCUGCCUGGUAGCGGGGGAUAACUAUUGGAAACGAUAGCUAAUACCGCAUAAUAUUGACUAUUGCAUGAUAAUUGAUUGAAAGAUGCUAUUGCAUCACUACCAGAUGGACCUGCGUUGUAUUAGCUAGUAGGUGAGGUAACGGCUCACCUAGGCGACGAUACAUAGCCGACCUGGGAGGGUGAUCGGCCACACUGGGACUGAGACACGGCCCAGACUCCUACGGGAGGCAGCAGUAGGGAAUCUUCGGCAAUGGACGAAAGUCUGACCGAGCAACGCCGCGUGAGUGAAGAAGGUUUUCGGAUCGUAAAGCUCUGUUGUAAGAGAAGAACGGGUGUGAGAGUGGAAAGUUCACACUGUGACGGUAUCUUACCAGAAAGGGACGGCUAACUACGUG